rnacentral:rRNA from 1 species
CCUACGGGUGGCAGCAGUGAGGAAUAUUGGUCAAUGGGCGGAAGCCUGAACCAGCCAAGUAGCGUGCAGGAUGACGGCCCUACGGGUUGUAAACUGCUUUUAUACGGGAAUAACGCGCCUUACGUGUAGGGCUUUGCAUGUACCGUGUGAAUAAGGACCGGCUAAUUCCGUGCCAGCAGCCGCGGUAAGACGGAAGGUCCGGGCGUUAUCCGGAUUUGUUGGGUUUAAAGGGAGCGUAGGCCGCAUGUCAAGCGUGCUGUGAAAUGUCCGGGCGCAACCCGGGCCUUGCAGCGCGAACUGGCGUGCUAGAGUCCGCGGAAAGCAGGCGGAAUUCGUCGUGUAGCAGUGAAAUGCGUAGAUAUGGCGAAGAACCCCGAGAGCGAAGGCAGCUUGCUGCAGCUGAACUGACGCUGAUGCUCGAAGGCGCGGGUAGCGAACAGGAUUAGAUACCCCAGUAGUC